rnacentral:lncRNA from 1 species
GAUUUGAAGAUUUUGCUGAAUUUUCUAUUUAGAAAGAUUUUUUUCAUCUUCCUUUUCUAUUUAAAAGAUUUUAUCAUCUUUCUUUUUUUGUUUAGAAAAAUUUUAUUCUAUCAUCUUCCUUUUAGAAAAAGAUUUUAUUCUAUCAUUUUUCUGUUCUUGCUUGGAAAGAUUUGGUCAAAAUUUCUUUUUCUGUUUAGGAGGAUUUUGUUUGAUCAUCUUCCCUUUUUUUUAGAUAAGUCUCUAAGUUGGAAAUAUUUUCUUUUUAUUCUCAGAGGUUGAUCUAUAAAUAGCCCACAAGGCUUUGGCUAUGGGGGAAAAUGAUUAUUGAAUAAAAUUCGAGUUUUGUUACAGAGUUGUAGUGAGAGCUUUGUUUCUUUCCCAGGGUGUUACCGGUUCGGGCGAGAUCCAAAGUUCAGUUCUUCUUUAGAUCUGUGUUCUCCUCUAUUUUCUGUAAGUUGUGAUUACCUACUAGUGAGAUCUGAUCGAGAUUCGAGAAAGUUUGGAGAUUUCACAAAAUAAGAAGAAGAUGGAGAUUGAAGACGAAGAUCUUGUUUCCCUUUCUCCUUGCACGUGCUAUCCGAGACGUCCGACCAACCAUCCAUACCAACAAUCUGGGCCAACUUCAGCCUAAAGUCAAGUAUUAGUUUCUCUUUGCUUCACAAAAAAAAAGGUUAUAGUGCUAAUUUUUCUGCCUAGAUCCAGAUCUACACAUAUCAUCUAUUGGUAAUAAAAGCUGGGUUCAUAGGAUAGUUUGAUUUUUAUUUUUUUCCUCGAAACAUUUAUCAUAUUACUUUUUUCCAAAAAAAAACAAAAAUUAAUUCAGUCCUUUUCCUUCCUGUAUGAUACUUGGUUGCGAUUGUUGAGCAGGAAUUGACUACGUGGACAUCUACAAGCUUAGCUAGGAGAUCGUUGUGGACAGACUGCGAAUUGAUCUGAGUUAAUCAUAAUAGCAUAACUGCGUGCUUGUUGGAUAUCAUAUGGUAUAAUUUCUUACCUGAUUUAAUCUCUUUACUAUAUUAUUUUCUUUAGCUGAACAUUCUUUCUUUAUUAAAAUUAAUUUCAAAAAACAAAGCUCAUUUAAUCUUAUUUUGCAAUCAAUUUUGUAUGCCACAUCUAAGGGAUAGCAACCAGUAUGAUCGGUUUGACAUCUUAUGUGCUGCAUUGAUGCAUAACAUAUAGGAUUUUGGACCGUCUUGCAUCAAAUUUGGUAUCAAAGCAGGAGGCAAAAUUGAUUUAAGGGCACUUAACCCAAUUAAAUAAGAUAAAAUGAAAAUUUGAUCAUCCUUCCUUAGCUCAAAAAUCAUCACUCUUCAUAUUGCAUUGAUCUAAAUUUUUAAUUUAAAAUCAAUUACAUGUCAGUCCUAAGGAAUUCGAGCUCAAUAGGACAAGAAAACCGAAAGGAUGGAUCGGAUUUGAUUUUGACUAACCAAUUGGUGUCUAGAAAAGUGGUUUAGGGACUCAGUUCUGAAGAACGGUGGUUACUUAAUUAGGUCCGUUACGAAAGCACGGGAAGCCUCCCACCAAUCUUACACUUACCUGAUCAAUUUGAUCGGUUGAUUUUAAACUUGGAGUUCCUGAAGGUGAUCUUAGAACAGUUUCGAGCUGUCUUGAUUUAUCCUCUUUUCCCUGAUUAUUGCACGAUCCUUAGGAGUGGUAAAAUUUAUCAUCCUGUAUCAAUAUCUUUUGACUCCACUGCAAUGGAUCAGAUUUUACAACAAUUGGCUGCUUUGAAUACUAACUUAGAUGACAUAGGAAAUCAUGUGAUCACCCUUAAAACUAAUCAAACCAUGGAUGACACUGUGAACCCUAAUGCUACUCCUGCUAGAACAGCUCUUAGAGCCGUAGGCGAUAGAAACCAGCCUAACCCUUUUAGGUUCAACUUCCAACCAGAUGACGAUAUUACCAAGAAAGUUAAAAUUAAAGCCCCAACCUUUGAUGGUAGAUUUGACUCUAAGACUUUCACUGAUUGGCUGACUGACAUGGACCAAUUCUUUGAUUGGUACGAUAUGCCCGAUGACCGUUGCGUCUAUUUCGCCAAAAUGAAACUCAUAGGCACGGCCAAACAAUAAUGGAUAAGUGUUGAGCGACAAUUGGCUAGGUCUAGACAAGCAUCGAUCACGUUGUGGGAUGAGAUGAAGGCCAAAUUGAGUGAAAAAUAUUUACCCUCAACCCAUAGACAACUUCAAAUAGAACAGAUGUUGUCAUUACAUCAAGGUUUGAUGACCAUAACUGAUGACAUGCAAAAGUUCGAUGAGAUUUCUAUUAGGUAUAAUGUCCAAGAAGAAGAGGAUGUGACCUUAGCCCGAUUUAGGAGAGGACUACGUGAGGAAAUCCAGAAAGAGAUCUCACCCCAUCGAGUCACCACUGUUAAGGAUGCAUUCCAACUUGCAAUCGAGUAUGAGCGUUACCUCAAACCUCCAACCAAAUGCUUCGGUUACCAAGCUAGGGAGUCGAGUACUAGAAAGUGGACCAAUAGGAGCCAAAAUACUACUAAGCCCAUCAUGCCCUCCCAUCAACCUAACCGAGACCCUAAUGGACCCUAAUGGAAAAUCUUUAGUUGAGGGAACCAAACCAGAUCUUUCCCGAGUGAAGUGUUUUAACUGUGAGAGGAUGAGUCAUUACUCAAAUAAGUAUCCUCAAAAGUAUAACUUGAUGAUGAAAAAUGAUGACGAUGACUUCGAGGAAGUAGUGCUUGAGACUAAAGAGUUUCCUAGUGAUGAGGACGAGCACAAAUAUGUAGAUGAUGCCGAUGACACUGUUCCUUUGCAAAUUGUCUGUUGUAUCCUUACCACCAAGAAGGAUGAGGAUGAUUGGCGACGCACUGCUAUCUUCCACACUUAUACUAAGUGCGGGGAUAAGGUGUGCAAGAUCGUCAUUGACGGUGGUAGCAGCAUGAAUGUGGUCGCCAAAAUGGCCCUCGAUCGGAUGAAGUUGACCCCUAAACCACAUCCGAGCCCCUUUAGAGUUGCUUGGAUAGAUAAGACUACAAUACUUGUCACUGAGCGAUGUUUGGUCUCAAUCAACUUUGCCACCUAUAGGGAUCAAGUGUGGUGUUAUGUCCUCCCAAUAGAUGUUGGACACAUUCUUUUAGCACGAUCGUGGUUGUACGACCAUAAUGUUAUACAUCAUGGUCGUCCAAACACAUACACCACCCAUAAUAAGAAAAGAAUUAUGUUGAGACCCCACAAAAUUAAAACGAUUCAAUAUUCAUCUAGCCAAUCUAAUGCACCUAAGGGACCAACAAUGUCUAAGGAGAACACGUUGAGCAUCACUAAGGUAGAGCCGACCAAACCGCUUCACUUUCUGAAUUAGAAGCAAUUCUGUCGAGAAGCCAGUUCUAGAGAUGUCUACGCGCUAGUUGUCCGAGAGGUAAAGGAGCCUUCCCUUAAUACUGAGCUGACCUUGAACCUUCAAAGCCUAUUGUCUGACUAUUCUGAUUUGACUCCAAAUGAGUUAUCCGAUGAACUUCUACCCAUGAGAGAUAUUCAACAUGCAAUAGAUUUUGUACCUGGGUCGUCAUUGCCAAACUUGCCACACUAUAGGAUGAACCCUAAGGAGCAUGAUGAGUUGAAACAUCAAGUAGAUGACUUGAUUAGAAAGGGUUUCAUUAAAGAGAGUAUGAGUCCUUAUGCAGUUCUGGCACUUUUUACUCCUAAGGAUGGAACUUGACGAAUAUGUAUCGACAGUCGAGCCAUCAAUAAGAUCACUAUUAAGUAUAGGUUUCCAAUCUCUCGAUUAGACGACAUGCUUGAUAUGAUGACUGGAUCCAUUGAACGCUGUACCGUAUUGAACUGGUCGGUACACCUCGUACUGAACCGAACCAGUGGGGAACUGGCACGGUUCGAUCGGUUCAAACGGUAUACCGACGGAGGAGGAAGGAAAAGAAAGAAAAAAUGAGAAAGAGAGAGAGGAGGAGAGGGAGGGAAGCGGGAGCCGUUGGAGGCCGAUGGUGGCCCGCUGCGGCCACUGGAGGACCGCGAAAGCGUCCGCGGCUCAUCGAUUCGCCCAAUAGGGCUUUAAAACAAGCAAGAAAGAGAGAGAAAAGAGGGAGAUCACCGAAGAUGGGAGCGGAUGACGUCGCAAUCGCGGAUGUGGGCUUCAUCAGGGCUAGGGGAGGGGGUGGCAGAAGCGAUGCAGACGGCGUCGCGAUCGUGGAAUAGGAGCUGUCGCCCCUGUUCAUGUAAUCCUCUUUUUUAAAACGAAGAUCAACAGUGAAAUCGGCAAACCAUUUGCCGGCUUCACUUGAGUUUCGAUUUUUUUUAAAAAAACUAUGAAACAAGGGCGUCACCUCUGUUUCACACCCGCAGCGCCGUGCGCCUAGACUGCGCCAUCCGACGGCCACGAUGGCCAGUCGGAGAACAUCUGAUGGCCCCGCCCCCUCCUUCCCCUCCCUCCUUUUCUUUUUUCCUCCCUCUCUCUCUAUUUCUCUCUCUUUCUUCUUUUGGUUCAGAUCCAAUGCUUUCGUCGGUUCGCUACCGAUUUGGUACAGUACGGAAUCGUACCGAACUGUACCAUCGAUCGAUCGAAACGGCUGUCGGUACCGAGACGACGAACCUUGACUAGGUCAAUGAUUUUUACAAAAAUUGACCUUAGAAGCGGAUAUCACCAGAUAAGGAUUAGGCCAGGAGAUGAAUGGAAAACUAUCUUUAAGACAAAAGAAGGUUUAUUCAAGUGGUUAGUCAUGCCAUUUGAUUUAACAAAUGCUCUAAGUACAUUCAUACGUAUCAUGAAUCAAGUACUUCGACCUUUCAUAGAAAAGUUUCUCAUGGUCUAUUUCGACGAUAUUCUGAUUUAUAGUAAAACCAAGGACAGACACCUAAGUCAUCUUAGGCAAGUCUUAGAUACUCUAAGGAGAGAAAAACUUUAGAUUAAUACCAAGAAGUGUGCCUUCAUGCAACCUAAGGUUGUUUUCUUAGGCUUCGUGGUAUCUGUAGAUGGAGUAUCGGCUGAUCCUAAUAAGGUCAAAGCAAUCCAAGAGUGGCCCCAACCUCAGAACAUUCAUAAAGUUAGAAGUUUCCAUGGGUUAGCCACUUUUUAUCGGAGAUUCAUUUUAGGUUUUAGUACAAUUAUGGCUCCGAUUACGAACUAUAUGAAAAAUGGAGAAUUCAAGUGGACUAAGGGUGAAGAUAAAGCAUUUAAUGAAAUUAAAAAGCAUAUGUCUACUCCAUCUAUUUUGAGGUUGCCUGAUUUUAAGAAGAUCUUUGAGGUUUCUUGUGACGCAUCUGGAGUAGGAAUAGGUGGAGUCCUAAGUCAAGAAGGUCAUCCGAUCGCUUAUUUUAGUGAAAAGCUAAAUAAGGCAAAGAUGAAGUACUCCACAUAUGAUAAGAAAUUGUACGCAGUUGUACAAGCCCUACGGUAUUGGCGACAUUAUUUGUUACCUAAGGAGUUUGUUUUACUUUUGGACUAUCAAGCCCUUAGUUAUUUUAAGUCGUAAAAGAAAUUGAAUUUAUGACAUACCAAGUGGGUUGCGUUUCUUGAGGAAUACACUUAUAUUCUUAACACAUCUUACUGGAGUCGAAAAUAGAGCUGCUGAUGCCCUUAGUCGUGUUGUUAUGACUUUGCAUGCUGUGAGAGCACAAGUUAUAGGGUUUGAUCGAGUCAAAGAUGAUUAUUCAACAUGUCCAGAUUUUGGUGAGACUCACAAGAAUCUUCUAGAUGGACAGCAUGAUAACCCUGAUUUUGUUAUUCAUGAGGGAUAUUUAUUUAAGGGUAGGCACUUGUGCAUUCCCUAAGGCUCAUUGAGAGAGUUUGUGAUUUUGGAGUCGCAUUCUGGAGGAUUAGCAGGACAUUUUGGCAGGGAUAAGACUAUUCUUUUAGUAGAAAACUGUUUCUUUUGGCCGAGUCUUAAGCAGGAUGUUGCACGUGUUGUUGCCCAAUGUGGUAGAUGUCAGACUACUCAAGGCAAACGAAAGAAUACUGGUUUAUAUACACUUUUGCCCAUGCCUCAUGCCCCAUGGCAAGAUUUGAGCAUGGACUUUGUUUUAGGACUUCCUAAGACUAUUCGAGGUCAUGAUUCGAUUCUAAUGGUAGUCGAUAGGUUUUCUAAGAUGGCAUACUUUAUAGCAUGUAGGAAGACUUCUGACGCCACUCACAUAGCAAAGCUUUUUGUUGAUCAGGUCAUAAAAUUGCAUGGAUUACCCAAGACUAUUGUGAGUGAUAGAGAUGUGUGAUUUGUGAGUUACUUUUGGAAAACAAUGUGGAAAACUAAUGAACACUAAAUUAUAAUUUUCUUCGUCAUAUCAUCCACAAAAAGAUGGCCAAAUCGAGGUUGUCAAUCGAAGCCUAGGUGACUCAUUGCAUUGUCUAGUAGGUGAUCAUAUUAAAAAUUGGGAUAGUAUUUUGUCUAUGGCUGAAUUUGCUUACAAUAACUAGGUUAUCGCACUGUAGGGGUGAGUCCAUUUGAGAUUGUCACUGGUUACAACCCUAGAACACCCAUUGACCUAAUUCUUUUAUCGAUAGAUUAUAGAUCAAGCCAGCAUGCCGAAGCAUUUGUUCAAUAUAUAAAAGACUUGCAUGAUAAGAUAAGACAAGCAAUUGUUUUAAAAACUGAGGUUUAUACAAACAAAGCAAAUGAACAUCAGCGUGAAGGAAAUUUUAAAGGAGAUAUGGUUAUGGUAAGGAUUCGACCAGAAUGAUUUCGCACAGGUACCACAAAAAAGCUAUAUGCGAGAAAUUUGGGUCCAUUCAAGAUCUUGAAGCGACUAAAUCUAAAUGCUUAUGUCUUGGAUUUGCCCACUGAUGUUGGUUUUAGCUCAACGAUCAAUGUUGAGGAUCUUAGCUACUAUCAUAAAUCUCUUUCCAUCAACAGCCCCAGUUCCACAAGUAUACCUCUACCACCACUUCCACUUCCGCCUAUACCUAAUAUUCUGAGAAAGAAAGAAGAAAUUGAACAAGUUUUCGACGAUCGACUUGUUAUCACACAAUCAGGUGAUUCGCAUAGCUUUCUGAUGAAGUGGGCAUUCCGAUCUGAUGAAGAAGUAACAUGGAUAUCCGAGCAUGAGCUGAGAAAAAUUGCCCCAGAUCUCUAUGAGGAUUACAUCAGCCAUAAUCCGUCAGAGUCGGAUUUUUCCAAGCCGAAAAGAGAUAAUGCAGACCGAGCCCAACUUGCAUCCACAUCCAAACUUCAGGUCUAUCAAAGAAGGCGGCACAAGUCAGCACCCGAAUCCACUAUCUGGAUUUGAAGAUUUUGCUGAAUUUUCUAUUUAGAAAGAUUUUUUUCUUUCUUUUAUAUUUAAAAGAUUUUAUCAUCUUUCUUUUUUAUUUAGGAAGAUUUUAUUCUAUCAUCUUCUUUUUAGAAAAAAAAAUUAUUCUGUCAUCUUUCUUUUCUUGCUUGAGAAGAUUUGGUCAAAAUUUCUUUUUCUGUUUAAGAGGAUCUUGUUUGAUCAUCCUUCCUUUUUUUUAGAUAAGUCUUUAAAUUGAAAAUAUUUUUUUUUAUUCGCAGAGGUGUUGGUCUAUAAAUAGCCUACAAGGCUUUGGCUAUGGGGGAGAAUGAUUAUUGAAUAAAAUUCAAGUUUUGUUAAAGAGUUGUAGUGAAAGCUUUGUUUCUUUCUUGGGGUGUUACCGGUUUUGACGAGAUCCAAAGUUUAGUUCUUCUUUAGAUAUGUGUUCUCCUCUAUUUUCUGUAAGUUGUGAUUACUUAUUAGUGAGAUCUGAUCGAGAUUCGAGAAAAUUUGGAAAUUUCACAAAGUAGGAAGAAGACGGAGGUUGAAGACGAAGAUCUUUUUUUUCCUUCUCCUUGUGCGUGCUAUCCAAGACGUCCGACCAGCCAUCCAUACCAGCAAUCUGGGCCAACUUCAACCCAAAGUCAAGUAUUAGCUCUUCUUUACUUCACAAAAAAAAAGGUUAUAGUGCUAAUUUUUCUGUCCAGAUCCAGAUCUACACGUAUCAUCUAUUGGUAAUAAAAGCUGGGUUCAUAAGAUAGUUUGAUUUCUAUUUUCUUUCCUCGAAAAAUUUAUCAUAUUACUUCUUUCUAAAAAAAAUCAGAAAUUAAUUCAGUCAUUUCCCUUCCUACAUGAUACUUGAUUGUGAUUGUUGAGCAGGAAUUGACUACGUG